CUUUACAACUGUCUUUCUUUCAGAACGUCCCUUUUCCACCUUCAACUUCUUCCAAUGAGAUAUGGACAUCCACCGCCUUUGACUUUUCAUCUCAAAUGCUUCUCGGUUCUUCUCCACCGCCUUAUCUCCCUUAUCUCCUAUCUCUUUCUUUCUGGAUGGUUCCACCACUACCCUCUUUGUCUCAAUCUCCAUUAAAUCCAGUCGUUUCCCCUUUUAGUUCUUUCUCCGUUAAGGUGUUGACGACCUAGGGAUUAGGUGGAGAACUCACAACUUCAGCGUCGACGAGGGCUGCGAUGAUUAGGGUUAGGAGCAACCCCAAGCCCACCACGUAUGGAGGACUCCACCUAACAAUUUCAAUUUCAGACUAUGUUAGGGUCGGUUUGUAAGUUGGCUAAGCUAAGAGUUUCUUUUUCUCCCUUAAAAUAGUGGCGUUCUAGAUUAUGCAGGUUGUAAGUUAAAAGAUGAUGGCGUUCCUUUCAAAACUCAUCAUCUGAUAUUCAUGUUUUCACGUCGGGGUUACUGCUUCGCUGAUUUGUUGUCUUCCACUCCUCAACUCACAUGUCUUUCGUGUAUCUGGAAGACAUCAAUUCUCCCGCUCCCGCAUCUAGAUUACAAUGUCGCCCUUUGUCAUCAGCCAAGCCAAUAUAGCAGUAAACAGAGCAGAACGUCAAUGUUUUGAGUUGGUUGAUCCUUCAACGCCUCUCCCACCCAAUCAGAUGUUGCACCGCCAUGGACAUCGGUCGUUAUCUUUCUCCCUCGAUUAAAUCGAUUCUUAUUCCAAAGCUCUUUCUUCUUCUUGGCUCCGUCGUUUCGCUUCGUCGUUGUUGUCCACCAUAUAUUUUAAUUGAUUUUCCCCAAAAUCACACCCACUUCACUUCACCUACGCUGAAACCACCAUCACCACCGCCUGCCAUGGUGGAACGGAUGGUUCUUUUCACCGGUUGGACUCCAUCUACCUCUGAUUUCUAUCGAUUACUCCUUCUGCUACCUCGAUUUCUGGUAAUUUGGAGAUUGAAUUCCCUUAUAAAGUAGCCAUGAUAAGGGAAAUAUGGGAUUCUUAUGAACAGUUAUAGCAUCGUCAACGGCGACAACCAUUACAACAGCAGCAAUAGCUCUCUCUCUUUCUCUCUCUCAAUUCCCUCUCCCCGUCUUCAUACUCCUAUUACAAUUACAAUUUCCCCAAACCCUUUUUGAAUUUGUCCUCUUCGAUCCCAAAUCGGUUCGACCUCAACAAGACUCUCACCAAACCUCCUCCAGCUCUUCACAUGGACGCUAAUCCCACCCUAAUGCACGAUGCGGAAUUACCGGAAGUUAUGAAAAAUAUGACAUUCUUCUAUAUAGAUUCAAAGGUGAUGAUCAGGUGGCCAAAAGUGUUGAUCUUGGCGCUGGAGAUGGACCCAAAUGGAAACACAGGUGUUGAUUCCUUCGUGUAUACCCAAAUGACAUUGUUUUUUUCCUGUUAUAGUGAUUUUUAAAGCUUCAAGCUAAAAAUAUGUUCUUAUUGUGUUAAUAAAUCAAACAUGACAUGCUUGAAACAAAUCACACUGAUGAUCUAUGUUUCUUCAUUAAGGUAUACCUGAUUCAACCAAUAGUCCUUUGUCUUUUCCUUUCUUUGGUUUCAUUCGAUGUCGAAUCUGUUCUAUCAUCUAUACGUUCAUGUCUUUAUUCCUGGCUGCAAGUACAGAGUUAUAACUAGGGGUGUUCAAAACCGGUUAUCCGAAUUUCGGAUAUCCGAAAAUUCGGAUAGUUGAUUUUGAUAUCCGAAUCCGUAUCCGAAAUUUCGGAUAUCCGAAAUUUCGGAUACGGAGUCGGAUAUUAAACCGGAUAUCCGAAUUUCAUUAAUUUUAAACCGCAUCCGAACAUCCGAUUCGUAAAAUCACCGCAACUCUUAAAAUUAAUAAUAGCAACUAUGUUAAAUCUUGCGACAUAGAUGGAUAUCGAUAGCAACAAAUAAAUAUAUGUAGCAUUUACUAAAUAGUUUUUGAUUAUAAGCCAACGAACUUUGAUUAUAACAAACAAAUAUAUAACGAUUGUAAAAGGAAAUGUUUGCAAUAAAAGUUUGGAAAGAAUGGUCACGAAAAAGUUGAAAAUGGUGGGGAACAUUAGUCCAUUAAGCAUGUCAAUAUUUCUAAUUUCUCAUUUUAAAAUAUUAAAAAAUAAAGAAAAAGGAUAUCGGAUAUCCGAAAUAUCCGAAACUUUAUAAAUUCACUAUCCGUAUCCGAAUCCGAAAAACCGGAUAUUCGAAAUUCGGAUAUCCGAAAAUCCGGAUAUCUGAAAUUUCGGAUAAUUUCGGAUCGGAUUUUUGGGUCGGAUAUUUCGGAUGCGGAUAUUUUUGAACACCCCUAGUUAUAACAACCGGUCUGCUAUUCAUGCCCCUUACUCAUCCAAAGCAUCAUCCAACCCUCCCUUAGACUAUCCUCAUUCAGAACCCAAUCCAACCCAAUAAUCUAUUUAAAAAUUAAUUUCUCUCUCUUCUAUAUUCAUAAUUCAACCAAACCUAAUAUUCUACUUCCAUUAGCAAUCCAACUCAAUCCAAUUUUAUAUUAAAUAAAUAUUAAAAAAAAUAUAUCGAUAUUGGUAUCAUUUUAUAGAGAAAAAUUAAUCAUGUAUAUUGGUAUAUUUUAUUUAAUUUUUUACUCAAAAUAAAAUGGAGUUAUUAACAAAUUUAAAUUUAAUUAGAAAAGUUUAUUUGGCUUCACUAAUGACUAUUGGACAUGUGGGUUUUUUUGGGAUUAAAAAGUGCCUGGUGAACUUGGGUUGUGUCUCCGACCCAGGUCACCAAAAAUGUUUUAGUUUCUAUUUUCUUUUAAUUGGAAAAUGACGAGCGGCUCGUCCAAAUGGCAGGUAAACAACACACGGUCGCUAAUUCUUGAAAAGAUAAUCAUAUACAAAUCUUUUUUUGUAGAAUCCUAGAUGUUGAUAAUAACAAUAUGACCUUAAUUUUCAUUAGAAAGCUGGAAGAGUUGAGGCUGAUCUGUUGUAUUUAUUGAUGAAUUCUAAUUUGUGUUUUUUUUUUGAAUCCUGGAUGUUGAUAAUAACAAUAUUCCAACAUAGCAUCCCCCAUCAAAGAUCCAACCAUGUCUAUGGCCGAGAUCCUUAACACCUUUUGUAGCUGAUCUCAAUAAGCUACCAAAAUGGAAUUAUGAUGGAUGGAGCACUGUUCAACCUUCUGGUAUCAUCCAAGAUUUAAUUCAAGAUCUUCAAACUUAUUUCCAAAAACACCAAGAACACCAAGAACACACACUAAGUGUUCUUGGACUUUUAGCUCAUUUCAAGCUUCCUUAUAUCCUAAGAUGAAGCUCGGAAGCGAAAGGAAGCGGGAGAAACAGUUAGAAGAUCGAGAAUGGAAUAAAGAAGGAAAACACUAAAAAAGGCACCUACUCGGCGAGUCAUAUCGUCUACUCGGCGAGUCCAAUCGAAGGAUCGAGAAGAUAAUGACUCGGGAUCCCAGAGAGUUAUCGCAAUACGGGGAAUGUGAGAGGGACUCGACGAGUCACCACUUGACUCGACGAGUCGAUUCGUAUAUUUAAAGAUAAUUCCACAGAUCGAUAGGGGAGUUCUGGGACGAUUCAGAAGUGCUUUGUUACGAUUGAGAAGCCUGAAAAACCCUAGAAGACGACGAAUGAAGCUAGAAUUCAAUUUCGGAGAGUAAUUAAGGCAAAAUUUCAUCAUUCCAUUUAUUCUUUUGUUUAUUCAUCAUGAUUAAGCAACUUGACUUUGAUUGUUUGCUGUUAUUUACUUUAAUUAUGAGCUAAAACCUUUAGACUUCUGUUUGGGGAUACAAAGUUGACAAUAUGGUUUGAUUGAUUGGUAGGAUUAAUUCCAAGUUGGUAAAUUUUUGUUA